GCUGUGCAGAGAAGUGCAAGGGUCACAUCCUAUUCUGCUGUACCUCCUGCAGCAGCUUUGUCAUCUGCUCUUGCAGAUACACCUCACACUGCUGCAUGUGGUCAAGUGUGGCCGCAUCCAGCUCAUCACCAACACAUGGCACUCUCUGUGCCAACAAGGUGAAGACAAACACCAAAGCCAUGAUCUGGAAGAGUUAGAAGAUGACCAAAGAUAACACCGUGAGUUCAAUAAACUUCAGAAUCCUGAAGAAGUUAGAAUCUUUCAACUCUGUUCAGGUGACAUCUAGAAGCUGGUUUGUCUGAGUAGAUACUGGAGUAGACCUCUGAUGAAGGCCACAGCAGAACUGAGAAGCAGUUUCCUGAAAUGGGCAUCUAGAAGAGAUGGAAGCCAGAGAUGGACCCCAAAUACCUUUCUUUGGCAGAAGGCACUGCUCAGCUGUUUACGUCCAUUGGAAGAGCUCCCUGUGGUCUGCAGAGAUAACCAGCAAGCAGUAAGAUCAGCGCUUAGGACCAAUGUGUGGCAAGCAUCCUUCAAAAGCUAAGCCAUUUAAGAUCAUCACUUUUAGGGACUAAGUCUGGCACUGGAUGUCAAGGAAGAGAAUGUGGAGUGACUAAGUAAACACAUGAACUGCUAGGAUGGCAGCAGAAAGGUAUUUGCAUUUGUAUUGGAUGUGGGUACACCGGGAUCAUACGAAUACUUAGCUGGGAGGGUGCCAUGGGAAAGUUCAGAGGCAGUAGCACCAAUCUUCCCACAUGGUGGGAAGAUUUCUGGUCUUUUUGGUGUAAUGAGAGAUUUAAGUGCCAACUGGGUGGAAAAGUUCUAAAUGGUACCAAAGAAGUAAUGCUACUCUUUUUUCUUGGUAAAUGGAGGCACUAUAUUGGCCUUUGACAUGGAAAGGUGGACAUUUGAUUAUAUCCAGCUUGCAGUUCUUGCCAGCAGUGCAAGGGCCGGAAGAAGAACUAGUGUGGAAGAAGUAUUCACCAAUGGAAGAAUGAGGCACUAUUGCUUUUUGGAUAUCUGCUGAAUGACAGGUGAGUUGGUGCUUAGAAUUGUUGUCAUUGCCUUGGUAGAAGGUAGCAGACUAUAAACCAGAUGGAGAUGUGGAGGAGGGGCGCAAACUAACACACCACCACCUCCCCCUCUGAAAGCUGUUGAACAAGAGUCCAAAAACACCACAUGUCAAGGUGGUGGAUAGCAUAGUAACACGUAAUUACCUAAUUCCCAGACUGAUCUUGGCCAUUAGGUGAGAUUCAGAGGAGAGGAGAGGAAGGCAGCCA
rnacentral:lncRNA from 1 species